GACGAACGCUGGCGGCGUGCUUAACACAUGCAAGUCGAACGGAAAGGCCCUGCUUUUGUGGGGUGCUCGAGUGGCGAACGGGUGAGUAACACGUGAGUAACCUGCCCUUGACUUUGGGAUAACUUCAGGAAACUGGGGCUAAUACCGGAUAGGAGCUCCUGCUGCAUGGUGGGGGUUGGAAAGUUUCGGCGGCUGGGGAUGGACUCGCGGCUUAUCAGCUUGUUGGUGGGGUAGUGGCUUACCAAGGCUUUGACGGGUAGCCGGCCUGAGAGGUUGACCGGCCACAUUGGGACUGAGAUGCGGCCCAGACUCCUACGGGAGGAAGCAGUGGGGAAUAUUGCACAAUGGGCGGAAGCCUGAUGCAGCAACGCCGCGGGCGGGAUGACGGCCGUCGGGUUGUAAACCGCUUGCGCCUGUGACGAAGCGUGAGUGACGGUAAUGGGUAAAGAAGCACCGGCUAACUACGUG
rnacentral:rRNA from 1 species